UACGAAGGUCCCAAGCGUUAUCCGGAUUUAUUGGGUUUAAAGGGUGCGUAGGCGGGCUAUUAAGUCAGUGGUGAAAGCCCCAAGCUUAACUUGGGAACUGCCAUUGAUACUGAUGGUCUUGAGUACAUUUGAGGUGGGCGGAAUGUGUCAUGUAGCGGUGAAAUGCUUAGAUAUGACACAGAACACCGAUUGCGAAGGCAGCUCACUAAACUGUAACUGACGCUGAAGCACGAAAGCGUGGGGAGCAAACAGG
rnacentral:rRNA from 1 species